rnacentral:misc_RNA from 1 species
GUGGCAAUUCUCCAUCGGCAGCAGUGGAAGUUCCGGCGACGGCAAGACAUCCGGAACAAUCGGACGGACACCUACUGUGAUGCACCCUGGAAUAACAGGAAUCACUUUCGGAUGUUUGUGAAUAGGCGUGAUAAUGAGUGACAUCCUCAUCGGAUGUUGUCGUCGUCGUCGUGGCGAUGGACCCGUGCUCGUUGCCUCCCACUUCCGCCUUCUCCUCGCUGCUGGAACGGUCGGGCGUUCGCCAUGGCACCAGAAUGUCUUGGGAUUCAAACUGCCCGUCGAACAACCAGCAGUUUGUGUCAAUGCAAUUGACGUCAUCAUCAAGGAUUUAACAAAAAUCGGAAAAAGAAGGGGCCAUUAGGAGACGAUUCCAUUUGGGCGUACACAUCGCAACAUUUAUGGGAGACAGCCACCCAACAACAAAAGAAAAGAAGAAGAAAGCACGUCUGAAAAACAGCCGUUUUCCUUCCCCCCCCCCCCCCCCCCCCCAGAGACUACGCUGUGCGUCGUGAUGGAUCCGGCAGUCAAUAAAAAAGCCCAAACGGUGAUGAGGAUGCGUCCGCCCACUCGCAGGAUCCGCGCCAAUUCCCGCAACGCCCGCACUCGCCUGUCUCUCGUCGCCAGGGCUGGGUGGGGGUGGUGUGGGUUAUAACUUACUGAAUGACGGCGAUAGACAAUGCGGCGUCGAAGCUCUCGUCGCGAUAUGGCAGGUUGAGAGCGUCACAAAUCAGCACCUGUUUAGGAGAGAUAACGACAAAAGCCGCCGCAGUGAGAAAUUCCGACCACAUGUGUGUUGUUGCUGCAUCAGCCAAUUGUGACAGGGAUGGCGUGACCCUGGAUUAUUAUCAUGUUCUUCACUCCAAACAGAAUUGAAGAAGAAGAAGAAGAUAUUUGACGGAGAAGAAGCAACGCGGGAGCGGGGGGAGUCAUCUCUCCUCCUCCUGGUCCGUCAGACCGUGCAGCGUGUUCCAUGGCCAGUCCCGAGGGCAGCAAAAAGGGAUCAUCGUCGGGAGGUCAACAACAACAACAUCGUCGCCGAAGCAACAGCCACAACAACGAGAACAGCCCGCAGAGCAGCUCGGCUGCGAGCUCGUCGUCGUCGAGUCAUCACCAGCAGCUGAGUCUGCGGGCGCCGGUGAUCCGGCAUCGCGAUCCCAAGGCUCCCGUCGUCAUCAGCGGUUGGCUCUUUAAACAAGGCAGCGAUGGCCUCAUGUUAUGGAAGAAGCGAUGGUUCGCCCUCUCCCAGUACUGCCUCUUCUACUACGACGGUCCUGAAGAGGAGAAAGUCUUGGGUUCGUUGCUACUUCCCGGCUACACGAUCCGGCCGUGUUUGGCGGGAGAUCGGGACCGAUUGGUUUACCGCAAAUACGCCUUCAAAGCCGAGCACCGCAACACUCGCAGCUUCUAUUUGGCCGCCGAUUCUCGACCGUCUAUGAUCCAGUGGAUGAACGCUCUCAGCUUGGCCGCCAUCCUACAAGAUUCCAAGAGCCUGUCCAUCACAUCCGAGUUGAACAAGAGUCAAUUGGACGUGUCCAGUGGAUCCGCCGCUCUCAACGGAAGUCGUCGUUCCUCCAAGGCCGUCGUCGCAGAGAACAAAGCGCAAGGGGUUGAUGCGUCGUUCGACUCGACGGCACCCGAUCAGCCGACAGGUCAAAGGCAGCCGUUGUACGCCAACGCUCCACCGAAACCGAGACGGGCGUUGAACACGAGCCGAGAUUCGUAUUGUUCGAGUUCGCCGGAUCGGUCACCGGAACGACCAGUUGUGGUGGCAUCAUCGACACCUUCGACGGCGGCGGCGGCAGGUAAAACAACAAUCCAAUCUGCCGAAGGAGGAGGAGGAGCGUCGCCGUUUGAAUUGCAAGGCAACAACCGUACGUCGGCGCCAUCUAGUGCAAUGUACGGACAACACCAGCAAGUGGCCGUUCGCCAGAUGCAGCGCGGCCAGUUUCAGAACGGCGGUCGAGGAUGGCCUCAUCAACAACAACAGCAGAUGCCAAGGCCCGUCUCGGCAGAAGUGACGACGCUGUUGCAGCAGCAACAACAACAAUCUCAACAACAGACGAUGAUGAGGCAUCGCAACAGUCCCCACCAGCUGCCGGCCGAACGACGGACGCCGGACGCCUACGGCCGAUUCAAAACCGAGUACGAAGAUGUUUACAACAAUAGCAGCACGGCCAGUUCGACCAAUUCGCCUCAAAUGCUUCCGGCGGGAUCGUCACCCGCCGCCGCUUCCUCCUCCAAGGCGUUUGUAGUGGCCCACAGGAGCGAAGUGGCCCGUCGGGUGCCUCCCAGGCCUCACAGUGUAGACUUUCUUCAGUAUCCGACCAUACCGGGCACUCCGCCACUACAACAACAACCCAGUGACUAUUGGUCUUCCGAACAAAAAUAUGCCCAGCAGGUCAGACAGUCGGUCAUGCGCAACUACCCGCGCGAACAGCAACCGGCCGACAAUGUUCAGCUGGCGCCAAAGGAAUCGGAACAACCAUCAACACCUCAACAGCAGCAACAGCUACAACAACAACAACAUCAACGUCGAGUAGUGCGUGAUCCGGCAGAAAUAUCUCGAGACGUGAAAGAGAGCGCCCUCUGGUCCUAUGUCCAGGCAGCUGGACAGCCGCAUCUAUCCGGUGCUCAUCACCGCCCACCGGGCAAGACGAUCCUAUCAGCUUCUCAGGAGAAUCUGAUGGCCGAAGAAUCUUUAGCUCUUUAUCGUACAGGCCACGAGGGUCAUCAGCAGCAGCAACCACAACAGCAACAACCGCAACUCUUUCACCGCUCCGCCAGCGCCCGGCUGCCCAAAAUGGCCAAACAACAGCCGGAUUUGCUCAAUUCAUCGCUGGCCGAUCAUCCGCUCGAAAUGGAUAACAAACGAAUCGAGCAGAGAGAAGAAUCGAUGAAACGGUUGCUGGAAUGGAAGCAGAGGAUGUUGCAGUCGCCGUUAACAAGGAAAAGCGGCAACAGUGUCGUGAGUGGGGGAAGUGGCGCCCGCAGCAGCGAACGGAGUACGCCGACCCUCGCCGAUAGAGACGAUCCGUCUCCGCGGAUGCGGAUCGACUCUCCCCUUCUCCAUCCGCAGCAGCAGCAGCAGCAGCAGCAACUGCAUCAGCAGCCAAGCCCCAUCCAGUUGGCGGAUUACGGAGGAAAUGGAAACGUCGCCAUGGGCAAUUUCGCCACGAUGAGGCGGACGGUGGCGCGGGCGGCGCAAGAUCUUCUCGUUCAGGAGCAACUCUACCAGCAGCAACAACAGCAGCAGCAGCAACAACAACAACAACAGCCACCGCUUCCACUGAAUGUGGCCUUCCGGGCCUCGUUGAAACGUCCGGCCGCCAACAACGAGAAAAUCAAAAUUCAACUGGACGAAGAGGCCGACGUCCGCAAGGAGUUCACCUACGAGUACGUUUUGACGGAGCAGUCGCGAGAGGGAGACGGAGCUGCGUGCCAAGAGCCGGAAGACCCGGUGCCGAAAGUGUCGUGGCCCAGGCCGUCGCUCAUGAGGGAGAAAUCGAGCGCCGUAGCCGAUUUGAGGGCCCGCAGUGAGAGUCCGUCGGCCAAUCGAGUUCUCUUCUUGAAAGAUGUCCAGCAAGCCCAACAGAUGUCGCCGCUGAAAGCCCGGCCCAAACCGCCGCCCAAGCCCAGCCUUCACGAUCUCCAGCAGGCGUUCCAGAUCAAGCGGAACGGAAUCAUGACCCAUCACCACAUGAUGAUGUUGGAAGAGGAUCAGCUGUCGAUGGAUCAGCAGCAACGCUUGAGCUACGCCGAGUCGUUGCCGGAAUCGCUGGCCGGUUUCGCCGCCACCAUCGUCUCCGAGGACGGGAUGAGUCCGUGCCCGUUCGAGCCGACCGUUUCGCCGCUCAUUUCCGAAUGCGAUUGGCCCCACAACACGACCGGAAAUGGAUCGUCUCCGGCCCCGCUUCCAGAUUUGAUGUCACUCGCCUCGGUCACUUCCGGCCACCUGAGAAGUCGCAGCCGCAGCUGUGGCGGCGGAAGCAUCCACGCCGCGUCGGAGAACCUCUACAUGAACACGCAAAUGACCGCGGAAUUGGAAGCUGAUCAAUCCGGAUCGGGUUCCGUCAUGGAAGAUCAUUACCUGCCCAUGACGUCGACCAAACUCGUCUCGGCUCGCUCUCCUCCGCCGCUUCCGGCAGCCAAUCACUACCACUUCGAGGAAAACGCCUACGUUGAGAUGACGGACAACGGGAAGAUCAAGACUUCGCCACCUGGUGGCGGAAUCAACGGCCGGGCUGGCAGCAGUAAACCUUCGUCCGUUUUCGCCGGAGUUUUCGAUCCCUCCUAUCGGUCGCCGGAAAGUCCGCGCUACAGCGAAAUCACCGACUGUCCUUCCGGUGGAAGAGAACAACAGGAAGAAGAUCAGCCGCAUUACGAGUUCAUCUACAAAGCGUCCAGCCAGGCAGAGCCGGUCUACAUGGAAGUUCCGCAGGGCGAAGAAGAAGAGGAGGAAGAUGCGGAUGAAAAUGCGGACGAAGGCAGGAGAGCAGAUGGCGGUGAUGGCGAAAGAGAAGACGAACUGGAAUCGCAGGACGGAAUCCAGGAACGUCAUACCAGCAGUGCCAUGGACACAACGGCCCUGGAGGAGAUGGAUGACGGUGGAAGACCUUUGGAGCUAAUCAUCACUCCUCCCCGCCAUCCGCGCUUCAGCAUCUCUGACACAUUCCGCCCGGCUUCCUAUUUCUUGCGAUUGGAGACGAUUCCGGCGACGGAAGAAAACGGACUGGAUGAUCAAGCUUACGGACAAUCGGAUGAUCAAUCCGACAGUGAACUGGUUUCUCCUCCGCCCAUUCCCACCAGUCCGCCGCCGACGACCAGCGAGUUUCCAAGUUUCCAGCAGCUGCAUCACAACAAUCAACUCCAUCGGCCGCCGAUCCAUCACAGCCGAAGUCAGAGUCUAGACACGUCUCAAGACUACUUCCAAGGUCGAACGUCUCGAAAUAGUAUCACAUCCGAAUUGUGCCACAGCCAUGGCCGUCCGCCUUCCGACUUAUCUCAGAGGCGGAGACCUUUGACAAUUGUCCGAAGUUUGGAGGAUUUGUUGGUGGACUCGAGCGACGACCACUUGGCCGCUCUGACAUCGGCACACAACACGUCGCGAAUCUCGGUCGCAUUCCAGGGCAGCACCCAAAGUUUGGCCUCCAAUGGCAUCCGCAAUGCGGAAUCUUGGAACCAGCCGCUCUAUGAAAAUGUCUCGCAGAAUGUUGGGGGCCACGUCAGGCAGGCGUCUAGGAUCAGCAUCGCAUCGAAUGCGAGUCGGCGGAUGAGUUCGUCUCCGGCCGGAUCGAUGCAUUCUGAACAUCAGCAACAACAGCAACAGCAGCCGCAACCGCAGCAACAGCCGCAACCGCAACAACGCCCUCGUUUGGGUUCAGCCUUGUCACUCAAUUCCAACUCGUCAUCCAUCUGCCGGAGUGAGCAGAGCGCGGGAGCGCCUUAUUACUAUUCCGAUUUGCUGAGCAAAACGCCGACAACUCCGCCCGACGCCAGUCUGGAGGACGGCAACAGCAGCCUCCGCUCGUCCAGUUCCAGGAGCGCUCAAGCCCAAGCGGCCAAACAGGCCUACCAGCACAGCAUGGAUCGACUGCGCACUGUUCAACGCCGAUCCUCUCCGCAGGAAUCCAGCGGAAGAUUGGGAAGCACUUCGAAUUUAGAUUGCCACCAGACGCCAACCAGUUCCGGCCAAUCGCGCUCGGAGCCCAGGCAGUUAUUGGAAACGAUCCGGAAGCAGCAGCAGCAACAACAGCAGCAGCAGCAGCAACAACAACAACAACAUCAACAACAACUGUAUCAACGCGCUCAAACGCCGGAUUUGCUGGCCAACCACCCGGAACAAGAGUCGUUUUAUUACGCCAAUGGGAGAGGGCUGUCGGCCGCCACGCGUCCGUCGAUUGCUGGCGAUGUGAUGCGACGGGUUCGCUCCCUGGAAGGUCUCCUGGAUGAAGAUCCGAAUCGAUCGAUUCAGCGCUCGGAUUGGAUUGAUCCGCAACCCAAUCGAUCAUCGGUGGCUUCCCACGCCAGCUACGGGACCAAUGGGUCCGUAGUCGGCGGUGGUCAGGGGCAGAGCUCGGCCGCAGCUGAGACGCCUCGUUACGCCCGAGAUCCGACAACUCGCGGCCAGGCCACCAAAACCCUUCCGUCGCACGUCCGCUCUCCGCAAGGAAGUGUGGGCGUCGACUUUGUCGGUGGCGAGUUCUCACCGUGGGACGAGGAUCAAUUGUGGCGCGACAAAUUGAGGCGUGCCAGUAUCCGGCACACGCGCUCCAUGGACAUGCUGGACGAGAUCCAUCACGAUGGCCACCCGGAUAGUAGGCACCAGUCCAAUGGGAAAUCCAUCCUUCCGGCCGAAGAGGAUUGCUACGAGCGGCUGCUCCAGUACUCGGCCACUCUGGAGCGGACCAAGCGCGGCCAGACUUACCUGGACGGCUACACUUGGGACGAAAUGGAACAGCGUUUCCGCGAGCCGGGCGGCCAGACGAAGCAGCGCGGCAAGGAAACGUCUUCGGCUCUGCCUCCGCUGCCGCCGGCUCCGCCUCCGGCGUCGAAUCACUCGACAUCGACCGGCCACCUGGUCAUCAACAACAACAACAACAGCCCGUCGCAUCCUUUUUUAGAGGACGGCCUCCCCCCUCCUGCUUUCGAAAUUGACCGCGAGAAACUGCGUCAAUGGGAUCUCAUGUCCACGGCACCUGUUCCGUCGUCGUCGUCAUCGACGGCCGCUCUGCCCGACAAUCAAGCCAUCAACAAGGAGGGAGGGAGGCGUCCGGCUGCUGAUAGCAGUAGCAACAACACCAUCACCGCCACCAAGGCUGGCCAUCCGCCGCCAUCAUCACCGCCGCCACAACAACCACCACCGCCGCCGCCAACAUCCAGCGAAUCCAUUAACAGAAAACCCACAACAACAACAACGACAACAACAUCACCACCACCAUCACAACCACCACCCCCUGUCCCGUCCACUCCAAUCCAGGCCAUCCGUCCGUCCCCAUUCCACCAGCUAGUGCCGCCCGACCUUGUCCGCACUCCCGGUGGAUCGAGCCCGGUUGAUGCUGUAGCGGCAGGACUCAAUCACGCAGCGACUGGAGCAGCCGGCAAGGCCAUCAACGGUAUCAAAGUUGCCUACAACCAGAGUGGUUUGACGGGCAAAGUUUCCUCCACUCUGGUGACGACUCAACAGCCUCCGUCCACCACCAAUCACAUGAUGACGGGCGAGAUUUAUCACUCGGACACGGAUACACCGCCCAAGAAAGGUAAAUUGCCUCCGAUGAUCGGUCACGACCAGCCGUCCUCUCAUAACGGCAACCGACAACCAGGCGAUAAUAAAGUGCAGCUGUCGGCGGGCGACCUCCUGGGCCGGACACAUGAGGAACUGGUUCUCCUCUUGAUCCAACUGAGGCGGCAGAGUUCCGCUUUGGUCAAAGCACGUGACGCCUGCCUCCUCGAAAUGGAAAGCCAGGUCAAACUGGCUGCGCUGGAUAUUUCUCAUCGACAAGAAUGCCUGAUAAAAACCGGAGAGCUGAAGCACCACGUCAAAGAGCUGGAGAAGCAACUGGAAAAACUCAAGCCAAUGAUCAGCCUGGUGGACAACAUGGUCAAACUGGGUUCGUCAAUGUCACCGCAAAGACACAAAAGACUGCCCAAACCAGAAACCAGCACAGCUGUCAAGCGCAAUUUGACACCUAUGCUUCACCAACAGCAGCAGCAGCAGCAACAACAACUGCAACAUCAACAACAGCAGCAGAUACAACAACCGAAAUUUCAUUCCUCUCCCUAUGAGCCCCCUGCGUACAGCAACGUCCAGCAGAGGAACAGCACAAUGGUGUUCCACUCUACUCCACAUCGUCCAACUGAGAACGACGCCAAUGAGGCGUACGGAUCUGCCGUCCAGGGCUGGGAGGAGGCUCAGAUUUCUCAGCUCGAGUCCAAGCAUCACCAGCUGGCUCAGUUGGAGAAAUUCGUUCGUGAGGAAGGCGCGGCCAUCCAUCGGCUGACGCGCAAUCAGCAAGUCCUGAGACUAGCCAUCCGCGGGAUCCGACAGCAGACCAACACGGCCCUGCAAGUCGCCGACUAUGGCGAGGUGGAGCGGUGCCGCCAGCAGCAGCUCUUUCUCGAGCGUGAGCUAAGCCAAAUUCACUCUCUGCUGGCCCUCAGUUCGAAACGGCUGGAAGACGCCGCGGUGGAGAUCAGUCGGAUAGAGCGAGAAAUCUCUUCACUUCAUCAGCAGUUGCAUCGCCUCGGAGCCAAUAACCGCCAACAUCACCAAUCCGGUGGAGGUCAUUCGUUGAGCAGGUCCAACAACGGAAGGGAAAUGGCUUGGCUAGAGGCGGAAUUGAACCGCGUCCAGCAACACGUCUCGCAGUUGCAGACGAGGCGACAGGAACUCAGCAGCCAAGUCAACUGCCUGACGUCUGCCGAUUAUUUCCUAGAUCUUGACGAAUCCUUUUCCAGCACCGGAUCGACCAAACGCAAACCUCCUAGCACCUGGUGCGAGACGGACUUGGACUCGCUGAACACGACCGAUCGCUUAACACGAAUGGAAGAUCCGUCUGCGAUGAAUUUCGGUGGAUCGCAGCAUCAUCAGCCGCAUCAACAGGAGCAACAACAACAACAUUAUCAGUACGGCCAGUACGAAGAUAACACGUUGCCCGUCGACAUCAAUGAAGCUGACGAAAGGAUGAAGAGAUACUACGGUAUCGUCCCCAAGCAACCAGCUCCGCCUAUCAGCGCCGCUUCCGCCGCCGACAAGGCAGAAAUCCGCACGGUUCGCAUCGUCAAGCGGGAGUCGGAAAAGCGUCAACGCGACAAGUCCAAAUCUCGAUACGACGACAAUUCUUUCGGAAUGGACGAACUCACCGAAGAGGAUCAAGCCCACGGCAACUCGAAUGGUUUAUACAGCGAGGAUCCCAUCAUGGACGAUCCGGUUUUGUCCCAGUUUAGCCACGUUUUGACGCUGCCCAGGCGGGGUAGCAAACGGGACGAGCAAGGCAAGCGCUCCCUGUCGCAGCGCAAUUCCAUCGCAUUGAAUGAAACUCCAACGGACGGGCGGCCUCUUUCUCUCGGCCCGGAUCAAUGGAGAGGAUCACUCCGCCCUCGCCGCAAUAUGUCUUCGUUGUCACUUGGAGAUCGAAAUUCGUCCGUCAGUUUGGACAUGGACACGGGAGAGUCGUCGGAAGGAGGACUGGGAAGCCUGGAUUCGACUCAGCGCUCGCCCGUCCUCACGCCCGUCUAUACUAGCGAUGCCGCACGUGAAAUCAUCGAAGAAAUGCGCCGACAGGACAUGAUUUCGGCCCGCCGGGCCGUGCCCCGGCAUAAAAGACGCCACAUAACCAUAUCCUGUAGUCAACCCCUUGUCCUAGAAGCCCUGACCUCUGAUACGCGCAUGACGCAGGGCCGGGCUAGAGAUGACGUUGAUUUGCAGCGAGCAUUGCGCUUCCACCAUCCAUUUGCGCCGGAUGUGGUCCGAUCCACCAUCACUCAGGCCAUCCGCAUCAACGAGAAGACGAUCGAUAACAUACUUUGUGCUCCAGACAAGAUCGUCAUUCCCGAACGCUACGUACCCGAGCAGGAAGUGGAGGAACUGGGAGAGGAGGAGAAGCAGAAACGGCUCAAGAAAACCGAGUCCAUUCGGCGUAUGCUGACGGGCUAUUCCACCGGUGUUGAUCUACCGCGACCUCCAUCCAUCGCCGCCACCAAUGACAUCGUAGAAUUGUCGGAAGCCAAGCAGAUGUUGGCCAAGGAACGCCAGCAACGCGAUCAUUUCAUCGGCCUCAACCAGAUGUUGGUGGAGGAAAUUAAAGAGAAGAGCAAGAUGGCCGCAGCUCCGAGCCUGAGCAUGGAAAGCCAGUAUGCGGCUUGACGCAAAUAAAAUGCAAGUCAAUAAAUUGCGCGACUCCUCCUACUCCUUCCCGUACCCUCCCACUACUGUAGCGUUCAGCACUCUUCCUCAUCGUUCACGCUUUGGCCAACAUGAAGUCGAGACGGGAAAACAGCAGCGAAGAGGACGACUGGUCACCGCCCGCCGAUCCAUUGCCCAUCUAUCAACAGCGCUACAACUACCUCACGUGAGCUGACACACACACG